AGCGCGGGGACGGCGCUGCCGGGUCCCUGCGAGCAUCCCGCCGCUUCCAAGCCGCAGCUGACUCGGGAGGAGACAAACACAAUGAAAACAGCCAGGAACUCCCAGCAUCUCUGAAGUUUGGGACAAGCAGUUCAAUUCACGCAAGAAGCGAACGCAGUAAGGAGGGAUCACUGCAAACACCUGGCCAAGCUGUGAACCCAUCUCACCAUCCACAACCGCCUGCGCCUAUAUCUCAGUGUUUUUUCUGACCUGGCUGAAAUUUCCUUUGCGAAGACUUUCCAGGUUGUUUUAAGAAUCCAA
rnacentral:lncRNA from 1 species